GCAGCCUGCAACUCGGCUGCAUGAAGCCGGAAUCGCUAGUAAUCGCGGAUCAGAACGCCGCGGUGAAUACGUUCCCGGGUCUUGUACACACCGCCCGUCACACCAUGGGAGUCGGAAAUGCCCGAAGCCGGUGACCAAACCAAUAAGGAAGGAGCCGUCGAAGGCAGGUCUGAUAACUGGGGUGAAGUCGUAACAAGGUAGC
rnacentral:rRNA from 1 species